UACGAGGGGGGCGAGCGUUGUUCGGAAUUAUUGGGCGUAAAGGGUGCGUAGGCGGCCUGACAAGUCUGAUGUGAAAUCCCUGGGCUCAACCCAGGGCCUGCAUCGGAAACUGUCGGGCUUGAGUAUGGGAGAGGUGAGUGGAAUUUCCGGUGUAGCGGUGAAAUGCGUAGAUAUCGGAAGGAACACCUGUGGCGAAAGCGGCUCACUGGACCAUUACUGACGCUGAGGCACGAAAGCCAGGGGAGCAAACGGG
rnacentral:rRNA from 1 species